rnacentral:lncRNA from 1 species
AUAACUAAUUACAAUAAUAUUUUACUAUCCGACAAGAAAGAUACCAAACAGUCAAAAAUUUUAUUUUUAUUCAGUGACAGAAUAAAGAGAAUAUUUAGAGGGAGUGGGAUGUUCUGGUCUAUAAUUCUUUUAAUUAGGUGAUUGGUUAGGUGUUUAUGCUUCUUGCAUUCGAAAAAUAUGUGGUUUAAGUCACUUUUAACCUCACAUUCUUGACAAAUAUUCGAAUCUAUUAUGUUUAUUUUAAA